GUCCGCGCCGCCCGACACGCACCUGCGCCGGACACGCACCCGCGCCGCACACCAACGCCGCCACCGCCGCCGCCGCGCGCGCUCCUUCCGCCCAGGCCGGGGACCAGCAGGCAGGACUCACAGAAAUAAAACACACCUGAAACACCCCUUUUUGCUGCCAGACUGGAAAAGAUGGAAAGGUCGUCUAUAAUUUGUCGUGGCUGAGGCGAAAUGGGCGAAACAGUGAUGAGGCUUUUUGGAGAUGAAUUUAGCAGGUGUAAAACAUGUACACAACGCUCUGCUCCUAUGUAUCAGUGAAGGGAAACUUCCGUGCGCGAGCUCAGAAGACAUGUUCAAAAAUGUCUUGUGCAGCAUUUCGUAACUAUCCAAGCCUGGAAACAAUCCAAACAUCUAUCAGUAGGAAAAUUGUUUAAAACAACAACAGUAGUUAAAAAUACUACCACAAAG